rnacentral:misc_RNA from 1 species
AUAAAGAACCUAAACUACUUGUUCAUUAGUAAUAAUAAACAACCAUAAGAUUAAAGGGGUGAUCCCCUGUACAACAUAACUCGGACAUGAACCAAUUCUCCAGUUCUUAAAUGUUCAAGAAAAAAUUGCUCAACUAACAAUGCUGUAAUUUUCUAAUAUCAUGUAAUAUUUACCUAAAAUAUUAGUGAAAGAUAAUAUGCUAUGCUAAUAUAGGUACAAGAGGAAAACUUGUUAUACCUUUUUUACACUUAAAUAAUAUCUAUCUACAUUGCAGAGUUUUCUGCAUUUUAAGGCAUACAAUGAGUAUAUUCAACAGCUGGAAUCUAUUCAAUUCGAAAUACUUCAAUUUUCAUCAUUAGCAGGUCCUUUCAUUUCCUUGGAAGUGUUCUCUGAUCUUUCCAAACUUAUCAGGGGUGUAGGAUUCUCACACUGAGUGAACAUUUUCUUGAUGACUUCUUCUUUCUCAUCAAUGAAGUCGAAAAAGUGAAAAAUGACUUGAGAGCAGUGAGUGGUUGAAGAAGUUAAGGAUGGAGAAGCCAGUUGCAUUUGCCUACGUUUAUAGCGCACAAAUUGGCGGACCACUCUUAGUAAAAAUGCUAGAAGGGCUACAGCAAUGAAGACACCACACAGAAGAUAAAGACCCCAGAAACUGAACAAAUGAAUUUGGUUAGGCUCAGAAUUAUGUCUCUUCUCUCCAGGACAGCCCUUCUUACAGAACCACCUCUUAUAGAUCCUUUGAAGCUCACCAGUCUCAGAAAGUUUUAGAAUUGCAGUAGACAUGUCAACAGCAAGCGGAGAUUCUCUUUGAAAAGCCUGAUUAUUACAAUGAAGAACAUUUCAGAGAAAGUUCAGGUUUAAGAUAAACAAGCAAAACAAUUUUUCCCAUUCCAAUGGAGGAUGAGCUUUAGUUGCAGAAUAUGGAAAAGAAGAAGAAAAUGCAAAAACAGUAAGAACUUUUAAUUAUCUUAUAUUUCCUUCAAAAAUGAAAAUAUUUCAUUUUUUUUUCUUAUGAAUGACAACUCAGUUUGCAGUUCCACCUCAGUCAUAUUAUUUCAUGCUACAUGCAUUUGGAGAUGAAUGUACAAUAAUAAUUAAAAGAAAAAUUGUUCAGUGUAUGAUAAAACAUAAGCAUGCUCUUUUUUCUUUUAGGGGACUUGCUUGGUAACCAGAUAUAAAUCAGUUACAGGCUUAUCAAGCAGCCCAUUAAACACCAUUCUUGUGUGUGAUGUGAGAAGGCUCAAUUGCUUGUAAAGGAAGGUACUUACAAAUCCCCAUCCACCCCUGGUAAAUGGUUGCCCAAUGAUCCCAAAUUGACUUUGGUUUGUGAGAAAAAGCUCUACAUAUGGAAGCUCAUCUACUAUUGCAGCCACACCACCGUUAUUUGGGCCUAGCCUCAAUGCUUUUUCAUACUCCACUGGGGACUUAAGAGAAACAAGUCUAGAAGGAGGUAUAUAAAGACUUUCAGAUAGGUAGGCAUUGACAAAUGACCCUUCUGGGUAUCCGAUAGGCCAAUUACUUGCAAUCAAGCUGUCAAUACCAGUAAUGGGUGAUGAAAGCUGCUGAACAGUAAGAAUAGAAGUCAAACUUGCUGUAUAGCUUGCAGUUAUGACCAUCAAUAAGAAAAGCCAUAUUACCAUCACCAUGCGUCCAAGUGGACUUACGGUAGUUUCUUCUGCAAUUAAAUGAAAAUAUAAAACUCACAAACAUGAAUUACCAGAAUCCCAGAAAUAUCCAUUGCAUGCUACAAUAAGAAAAGCUAUUGACUAAUUGAAAAGGCAACAGAAAAACAAGGAUUACUUUAUUUAAUUCCUUCAAUAGGGAUCCCGCUUUAAACACAUUUUCAGUAUGCAAAAAAGGAUUCUGAACUGAAAAGAACACUAGUAAUCUAAUUUAGAAUAGCUUCAAAUCAGAAUUUUCCGAAUCAUGCUUCAUAUUAUAGUCCUAAUUGCGUCUUAGCACAGAAGUUAUCAUUUUUUUUUUUUAAAUGUACUGUAACAGCCAAGUUGUGAAGGGAACUUAUACAAUAUUAACUAAGCAGAGCAGCUUUAAAGUUGCAUGUGCAAGCAAUUCUCUAAUUGACUCCACAUGAGACAACACUUGAUGUGUGGGGAACAGAGUAAAGGGAUUUGUCUAAUUUUCAAUUGAACUUUUCAGUUCCCUUUCAAUAGCGACUGCAAGAAUUAGUAUGACUACUACAACUAAGGAUUUUUAAAAUGUAAAAUAGUGAUUUCUGCAAAUCUAUACAGUUAAGGGUGAUAUCACAGCCACAGGCUUUAGAAAGAAACACACUUUGAUGCUAGGAGCCUAAUGAUAGAUUCAUAUCUUAACUAUAGAGGGAAAUAAAUUAUUAAAGCCAAAGUAUUCCUUACGAUUUGUCUUGAAUAGUGUUGAGAAACUGAACCUGCCAAAAGUUGCAGUUGAAUAAUGUUAGAGGUUAAUUAUCAUGGACACAUGAGAUAUGUCAAUUGCAACAGCAAACUGCAAGGUAGAGUGGAAGGAAAAUUUUAAAAAGACUUCAUGCAAAUAUUGACAAACAUACAUGAACAUUGUUACAAUCUGCCUUCUAGGAGGACCUCUGAAUUCAUCAUUAACUCGAUGUUCAAGAAUCCAAAUAACCACUGCAAUCAUCACAAAUGAUGCUGCUGUAACAAACCACAUCUCCACUGUAAAUGGUUUAAGGAAUACCCAAGCACUUGAUUUUGAAUUCCUGACUGGAGCCACAAUGACAAGACCAGUAGCAGCAUAAGGCUGAGAAAAAUCCACAAUUUUUGUCCGGUUUCUUACAAUCGCAAUGUCUCCAACAGCUGCAUCAAAUACCUGAGACCAAAACAUGAAAGAAUAAACAAGCUUUGCCUGUCUAAGUUCUACCUUUUAUAUAAUGCAGCAUUCAGGGUAGACCCAUCAUCGCAUGGAUCUCAACCAGACCAAGAUCUACAUGAUAUAUUAUCCAUAAACCUCUGCCGUUUUCCCCCAAAUUGGUGAAGAUAAAAUCUAAUCAUGGAAAAACACAAGUAAUAAGGCAUUUAUAUGAAUCCAUGGAGACAUUUUGGUAUUAAUGAUUUUCCAGGCAAGCCUGAGUGCAGUAAUCCGGAUAUUCUACAUAUUUACCAUGUAUUGGAAGAUCAUGUUUGCCCCAGAGACCUUGACUAAGAUUUGUAUUUUCUUUUGUCCUCACCAAUUAUGAAAGUCAAUAAUAUUUACUUACAUCUUCUGCCACCAUCCUCACGAGCUCAUUAUAGUUUGGAUCGGACCGACCAUCCCCAAAAGGCUCAAACCUGUAAGGUACAUCAUACGGGACUAGUUUCCUUGCUUCAAGGAACACAUCUAUACAGUAUCCUUCAAUUUUGUGGCUCUUGUUUACUUCAGUAACAAAAUCCACGAAACUGGCUCUGUAUGGCACUCCAAUUCUCAAUGGUCUUUCAUCAUCAGCAAUUACCCAACCACGUGGCCUUUCAAUCUUUCCACCAGGCCAAGUAAUCUUUUGAAGCUUCUGAUCCACGCGAGAAUAGUUACUUUGUUCCCCUUGGCGAGUCUCUAGGGGUAAAAGUGAGAAACCUGAGAUAUUAGACCAAUAACCAACUGUAUGAAUAGACACAUGCCCAAUAUUAAUGACAUCAUAGCCACCACUCUCAAUGUUCCGGUCAUUAUUAAAUUGCAUGCGACCACUUAAACCAGUGAAGUUCGUCUGCAUUAUUUUGUUUAGUAGACUACUUCCAUUACUAAAGACUUCGAGCUCCCCUAGAUGUAAUUCAGAUGUUUUCAUGUCAUGUAGCUUGCCAAUGGAAGAAAAUGUGAUAUUCUUGAAUUCAUCAAUGAACCUAUCAAUCGCAUAGGCAACUGCCCAAACUGUAUCAUAGGCCUGAAGCCCAUAGGUAUUCAGCUCAGAACUUGCUAAACCCUUCUGCUGCAUUACUCUCCAUCGAGACAGAAAAGCUUUCUUCUGGCUGGACUCUGGAAUAUGUUGACGAAGACCAACUACUCCUUGAAGAGCACUAAGUGAAGUUUGAUUCAUCUGAGAGAAUGAAUCUAUUGUAGUUGAAAGCCAAUCCGUUGCAAACCAAAUAUAAUUGUCAGUCAUCAUUUGAAGUCUUUGGGCAACGGUAAAGAUUCUCAAUUUGGGGUCUGGAUUAACGUGAACAAUAUAAACACGAGGACCAAGUGGUUUGGAUUGCUUAAGCAAAUCCAUUAUCUCAGUAUCAUCAAAAUUGACAGACAACUGCAACUUAUACAUUCUUGCCAUUUUCUUUGCAAGUUCGCCUUCCAAAGCAGCUAUCCCAUUCCUCCCAAAAUCAUCAUCCACAUAGAUUGCAAUGACCUCUUUCCAACCAUAAAAAUCAAUCAA